UUUAAAUAGAAAAAAGAAUUGGAUCUUUGACUAAAGAACAACAAAAACCCAAACAAAAAAUCCAGGUGGAUUAAAGACCUAAAUAUGAAAAGAAAUACAGAAGAAAACAGAUGUAGGGGAGGACUUCCUGAGUAAAACACAAAAAGCACAAAGUAAAAGUUCAACAACAAACUUACUGAGAACAGAUGAAUGAAACCUUGCCUGUCCUAUAAGGAAUACAGUCAUCUGCCAGAAGAAAAAUGGUGAUUCUUCCCAGUCCAAAGGUGAAGAUGGUGACUGUGAAAGUAUCAGCUUUAGCCAGACCACUGAUGAAGCUCCCAGAUGUCACAGCAUCCAUGGGCUUGUGAUCUCAGGUGAAGGCAUUGAACCCUGAGCCCUGGAUUCCCAUCUCUUCACUUGCUCCCUCCACCACCCCACCCCCAUAUUCAGAAUGGCCUCUAGGCUUCUAGGUUUGUGUCUUUAAUGGCACCUAGGCAAUAAAUAAAAAAUACAGUGCAGUGCUGACUGCA
rnacentral:lncRNA from 1 species